UACGAAGGGGGCUAGCGUUGUUCGGAAUUACUGGGCGUAAAGCGCGCGCAGGCGGUCUUCCAAGUCAGUGGUGAAAGCCCGGAGCUCAACUCCGGAACUGCCAUUGAAACUGUGAGACUGGAGUACGAGAGAGGUGAGUGGAAUUCCCAGUGUAGAGGUGAAAUUCGUAGAUAUUGGGAAGAACACCGGUGGCGAAGGCGGCUCACUGGCUCGUAACUGACGCUCAGGCGCGACAGCGUGGGGAUC
rnacentral:rRNA from 1 species